UGCAGGGUGUUUCUGAUCGAUGAUGU
rnacentral:piRNA from 1 species